GAGCGUUGCCGCGGGUUACCACGGCAACGCUCUGACUGGCUGAGAUCGCGAGACUAAACUUACCAUGUGGUCUGCAGCUCUGCACCCGGCGGAGCUGCAGACCAUAAAGGGAGCCCACCGGACCACCAGGGCUACAGCCUUGCCACCCACUGGAUCUCCAGGGAACAAAUUAAUCCCCAGGUAUUUAUGCCCUGCCCUCCUACCACCCUCUGC